rnacentral:rRNA from 1 species
CCUGGCUCAGGAUGAACGCUAGCGGCAGGCCUAACACAUGCCAGUCGCGGGAGAAGUAUUUUCGGAUUCAGACACCGGCGCACGGGUGCGUAACGCGUAUAUAAUCUACCUUAUACAGAGGGAUAGCCCGAGGAAAUUUGGAUUAAUACCUCCUAGUAUUAUUGAUUGGCAUCAAUUAAUAAUUAAAGCUGAGGCGGUAUAAGAUGAGUAUGCGUCCUAUUAGCUAGUUGGUAUGGUAACGGCAUACCAAGGCUACGAUAGGUAGGGGUCCUGAGAGGGAGAUCCCCCACACUGGUACUGAGACACGGCCCAGACUCCUACGG